GUUUAUUUGUAAUGAAAAGCUAAUUGCCAAUAUUUCUAAUCAAGAGAUUUCAAACUAAAACACCCAAGUAAACAUCCAACUGAUCACGAGAAAUCGGUGUCGCAGCACUUGAGCAAGACAGAGGGGUGCCAGAUGGCCCUGGUCCCCCGCCCCGCCUCUAGGGAUGCGCCUCCAAAAAACGCCUCCCUGGAUAACCCGCCACCUAAGGACAACCGUCUGGGGACCGCUCGGCGGGCGCCUAAUUGGCUGCGGACUCCGAACCUCUUGGCGCGCCUCGCUCUCCGGCUUGUGAGCCCUGGAGCCCGCAGAUCGGUCUUGGGACUUCUAGGGCCGGGAGGCGCGGGCGGAGAGGACUGGCGAGUCCAAGGCGCUGCUCGGAUUCCUCGGCGCCGGCCUGCCCGCAGGCCUGCUAUUGCCCACCGGCUACGGGGCCCGGCCUCCCCGCCGCGCCUCUAAGCAGGGGGACUCCCCGGCGGGCGCGCCACACAACGUCUCCCUCUGGCGCGCGCACCGGCCACUCCACAGCCCGGCCGCCGAGGACGCCGCGUCGCCGCCGCAGCCUGGCGCGCUCCCGACCCGCCAGCCAAUAGCCAGAGUCGCUCGGUGCACGUGAUACGCGUCAGCCAAUGGAGAGUCGAGGAGGUCCGUGACGCAAUGGACAGCUCCUAGGGUUUUCGAACCCGCGGGCGAGGCUAAAAGGCUGAUCAGGGCUGUGUGGUCGAGCGCUGAGCCUACGGCGUGUGCGUAGAAAGCGCGAGGACCCUCAGGGCGGUGAGAGAGCGCGGCUGCCAGCCUGCAGCACGGGGCAUUGACUCCCCAGGCGCCCCGUGCAGAGUCGCAGGGCACUAUCUUGGAUGUUUUAUUGCUGUGAAGAGACACCGUGACCAUAGCAGCUCUUCUAAAGGAAAUCGUGUAAUUGGGACUCACAGUUUCAGAGUGACCGGCCGAGGGUGAGCACCUGACCAGUGCUUUGGAAAUGGCUUUAUGUUUAGGUUUCGAGACGAUACAUGGUUGGAGAAAAUGUACUGUGUCUGUUACUCACUGAAUCACACGACACCUGACCAAACAACUUAAGGAAAGAAAGAGAAUGACCCGUGUCAGUUCUCCAUCUCCUCUACAUGGACUGCGGUGUUCGCAGGUCCAGGCUUGGAGGCAAGCACUCCUACCAACUGAACUUACAUGGUGGCUCACGACUAUCUGAAACUCCAGCCCCAGGGAUUCUGACGCUCUCUUCUGACCUCUAACAGAGAGCUUCAGGUAGCCCAGGACUUGGGAAACAAAGCUGUAUCAGAGCUCUACCUGAUUUGGUAAACCAGGCACUAGUGGGACACAACCAUGUUGGUUCAGUGUGUGGUAUCAUUAGAUGUUCUAGUGCUUUGGAGUCCGAGCUGAGUACCCCCGACAGAAUGCUGAGUACCCCGGACAGAAUGCUAAGUACCCCUGACAGAGUGCUGAGUACCUCUGACAGAGUGCUGAGUACCCCCACAGAGUGCUGAGUACCCCUGACAGAGUUGCUUUGGCAUGCAAAGCAUAAAAUGCUUACAGAGAAACUGUGUCCCUCCAGCUCUAGUGGGUUUGCCAUUUUUUAGCCCUUGCAUAUGGACUCAUCAGCCAUUUAGAGUAAGGUAGAAUCUGAAGCCUGCUUUAUCCAGUAUGGGUAUCCAUUUAUCCCAGAAUGACUUAUUGACAAGAACUCCCUUCCCCUCAUUGAGUCACCGUGUGUGUGCUACUGUGUACUGCUGAUUUCCUAGGUCUGCCCCUAUGCUAACACACACUUGCUACUGUGAGGAUUUUGUUCUUUCAGACAAGGUCUAAUCGUGUAGCCCUGUCUGGCCCAGAAGUUACUAUGUAGACCCAGUUGUUGUCAAAAUCACAGAGAUCCUCCUGCCUCUGCCUCCUGAGUGCUGGGGUCAAUAGAAUGCACCACCAAGACCAGCUACUAUUAGGGCUAUAAACCAACUCUUAAAUGAAGUAAAACGUAUUUCUUCAAAAUAGUUUUUCCUAUAUGUCUCAGCAUAAUCAGCAGAAUCAGCUUUCAACUUUCUACCCAAAGGUAAUAAACUACGGAGAUUCUUUUAAGGAAGUCAACAACACUCCACUAACAUCACCAUAACAGACAAAUCACUGGAGGUUGAUUGUAAGCAAAGGUCAGAAUUCAUUUGCCACAGUCCCAGAGGCUGGAAGUCCAGGAUCAAGGCCUUGCUGGAUGUGGUGCUUGACAAGGCUUCCAAGAUCAAACCUUGAAUGCCCCAUCCUCUGGAGGACAGGGGACAGGAGAGCAAAAGGCAACCAAGGUAGAGGAAUCUCAGCUUCUCUCUGGGCCUCUUAUAAGGACUCUGUCCAUGACUUCAUCAGCCCGUACAGCGCUCCCUCCAACACUGUCCAGCUGACCACUGUAUGUUGCUUAGAAACUCUAGGAGUACACACAGACCCCAACAAGGCUUUGGAUCCAUGACUCCACCGGAUGGAUUCGUUCACUUGCUGUCUGUUGACUUUAUCUCAGCGAAGUUUUGGCAUUCUGAAUAUAGGUCUGUACAUGUUAAAUUUACCCCUAAAUUCUGCAUAUUUUAACCCUAUUAUAAACUAGCCCUGUUUUAGAUUUUUAUUGUUAGCUAUUAAGGAUGGUUUUUAUUGACUUUAUUCUGAAAUCACUGACUAACCUCAUUUAUUAAUUCAUGAAAAUUCUCUGUCAAUUAUGAUUUUCUGCACCUGUGAAUAAGAAGAUACUGUCACCUAAUUCUUUGCAAAUUUAUAUGUAUUAGUGUUUUGAGUGCAUGCCUGUCUAUGAACCACAUGCAUGGGUAGUGCCCACAGAGACCAAAAGAAAGUGUUAGAUUCUUUGGAACUGGAGUUACAGACAUUUUCCUUUUUUAUUGGACUGUCUAGAACUUCCACUGCCAUUCAAAUACAGAUGUAAACUGUGAAUACUGAACCAUUUCUGACUUUCUCUUUUUUUUUCUUUUCUUUUUUUCAGAGCUGGGGACCGAGCCCAGGGUCUUGCGCUUGCUAGGCAAGCGCUCUACCACUGAGCUAAAUCCCCAACCCCCAUUUCUGACUUUCUUAAGGAAGUGUUUAAUCUACUGUUAUUAAUUACUAAUCUUUUAAAUUAGGUAACUUCAGUUUUUCCGAAUGAUCUUUACUAGAUUAAAGUGCUUUCCUUCUAGUCAUAGUUUUGAGAAGAUUUUGGAAAAUAGUUUUACUUUUAGUUAUAUGUGUUUGCAGGGUUCUGCACACAUGAGUGCAGUAACCUGCAGAGACCAGAAGGGGGCAUCAGAUUCUCCGAGAGCUGGAGUUAGCCUGUAGUAGGGCCUGCAAGCUGGGGGCUGGAAUUUAGGUCCUCUCCAAGAGCAGCCAACUUUUAAUCACUGAGCCAUCUUUCCAUCCUUGAAGAUUUGUGCUUUUGUUUUGGGGUUUCUGUUUGUUUGUUUAAAUGUAUGUACAGGUGCUAAACCUUGUCGAACACUGCUCCUAUAUGCCUUGAAAUAAACACUUGCUAAUCUUUUAAAUCCAUAUUAGUCUGGUG
ensembl:lncRNA